GAUAUCCUUUUUUGCCUCCCGAGAUGCUCUUUCCCCGACACAACACAGGAGGAGGACGCGACCACCAUUGCUCACCAUGGUCAUGGCGACAGCCACACCACCUCAAGGGAUUCCAACCGAACGAUUUCUAACCUAGUCGUAAUUGAUGCCUACAUUUUGGUUCAGUCAAUCCACGACUCCAUGUUUCCUUGCCUAGUGGAAUCACAACGCCAUCAUCCCUAUCCCUUUCGUGGUGCCCUCGCUUCCGCCGCCUCCCCAAACCACUGGCGAUUCGUACGAUGACUUCCAAGCGUCGUCUCCCUAAAUCCCUUGUCCUGUCCUUCCCUCGGCUAGGACCAGCGACUAGGCCACCCCUUGCCGCCUGCCCAGCCAGCGCCAGCGCCCCCACCCAGCGACCCCGCCAUCACCGGUGACCAGCCCCAACCCCAUCACAAGGUUGGCGACAAGGAAGCGGAUGUCGCCAUCAUCGAAACUGAUGGGUCCAAGGCGGGGUCAUCCUCAUCGCACUCGUCUCGACUGCUCUGGGAGCUAGGCAUCCACGUCUCCUAGCUGCUUGUGCUGCUACUUCUUGUAGGUCAUUCAUGGGCAUUGGUAAUAUCUUGCCUGUCAAGUGGCGUUAACACAUUGUGUUGAUGAACCUGAAGACAUAUGAUAUGCUCGAAAGGGUGUUGUAAACAUGUUCAGACUUGAGAGUGUAAAAUUGUAGAUUUUUGGUGGUAAUAUCGUUUUCUCCUGGCAAGAUGUGGCUAUUGUAAUCUAAAAGUGUGUGUCUAACUUGUACUUUCCAAACUGUUCUGAGAUAAUGUCGAAUAUUGUGAGGACUUCGAUUUGGUAGACUACA